rnacentral:rRNA from 1 species
UACGAAGGGGGCUAGCGUUGCUCGGAAUUACUGGGCGUAAAGGGCGCGUAGGCGAACAGUUUAGUCAGAGGUGAAAGCCCAGGGCUCAACCUUGGAAUUGCCUUUGAUACUGGCUGUCUUGAGUACGGGAGAGGUGAGUGGAACUCCGAGUGUAGAGGUGAAAUUCGUAGAUAUUCGGAAGAACACCAGUGGCGAAGGCGACUCACUGGCCCGUUACUGACGCUGAGGCGCGAAAGCGUGGGGAGCAAACAGG